GACGAACGCUGGCGGCGUGCCUAAUACAUGCAAGUCGAACGCUUUGAUUUUCACCGGAGCUUAGCGUCACCGAAAAUCAAAGAGUGGCGACGGGUGAGUAACACGUGGGCAACCUGCUCAACCGAGGGGGAUAACACUUGGAAACAGGUGCUAAUACCGCAUAAUUUAUUUUUCCGCAUGGAAGAAUAAUAAAAGACGCUUCGGUGUCACUGUUGGAUGGGCCCGCGCUGCAUUAGUUAGUUGGUGGGGUAACGGCCUACCAAGACCAUGAUGCAUAGCCGACCUGAGAGGGUGAUCGGCCACACUGGGACUGAGACGCGGCCCAGACUCCUACGGGAGGCAGCAGUAGGGAAUCUUCGGCAAUGGACGAAAGUCUGACCGAGCAACGCCGCGUGAGUGAAGAAGGUUUUCGGAUCGUAAAACUCUGUUGUUAGAGAAGAACAAGUGAGAGAGUUACUGUUCUCACCUUGACGGUAUCUAACCAGAAAGCCACGGCUAACUACGUGCCAGCAGCCGCGGUAAUACGUAGGUGGCAAGCGUUGUCCGGAUUUAUUGGGCGUAAAGCGAGCGCAGGCGGUUUCUUAAGUCUGAUGUGAAAGCCCUCGGCUCAACCGAGGAAGGUCAUUGGAAACUGGGGAACUUGAGUGCAGAAGAGGAGAGUGGAAUUCCAUGUGUAGCGGUGAAAUGCGUAGAUAUAUGGAGGAACACCAGUGGCGAAGGCGACUCUCUGGUCUGUAACUGACGCUGAGGCUCGAAAGCGUGGGGAGCAAACAGG
rnacentral:rRNA from 1 species